UACGUAGGCAGCGAGCGUUGUUCGGAGUUACUGGGCGUAAAGGGCGCGUAGGCGGUUCGCUAAGUUGAAUGUGAAAACUCUGGGCUUAACCCAGAGCCUGCAUUCAAUACUGGCGGGCUAGAGUUCUGGAGGGGAUAGCGGAAUUCCUGGUGUAGCGGUGAAAUGCGUAGAUAUCAGGAGGAACACCGGUGGCGAAGGCGGCUAUCUGGACAGAGUCUGACGCUGAUGCGCGAAAGCUAGGGGAGCAAACAGG
rnacentral:rRNA from 1 species